AUCCUCUUCCAGCGGCCAUUGGCUGCAGGGGCUGCCGUUCGCGGCCUCUCCGAAUCUCCCUUGCAAGGAAGGGCCGCGGAGGUUUGAAAGUUGGGCGGGAGGCAGCGCUGGUGACAGGAUGGUUGAAGACAGUAGAAUCUCUAACUUAAGUGUUGAGUUUUGGCUGAACAAGACUCUUGAGUGGGAUCAGCUCACCACUCUAGAAUCACAGCAAGAUGUCUGCCUUCACUUGCCUGAAUUACAGGAAUUUCUCCUGCAGAUUUAUGGAGCUUUGAAACAUAUGAACUCAACAACUGCAGUCCAAGAAUUUCCAUUAAUUGGUCAGUUAUUGGGAAGGCUUUGUUGGAAUCCUUUUGUCAUUGGUUAUGAUGAAUGCCAGAAGAUUCUGAUGUGCUGCUUAUGUUGUCUGUACAGUGGUGAACCACAGAACCCUCUGGAAUUGAAGGCCAACAGCUGGAUACAAAGUUCAUUGUGCCAUCUGCUGUCAUUCUGUGGACUGGGAAAUCAUGAUACUGAUAUUAAUAACUUUAUUUCAACUCUUGGCUUCACAUCAGUAGAUUACUACUCUAAACUCAUUGAAAAUAUAGUCUCAUCAUUAGUGACAGAACUCAGCAGAACCCAGGUUAAUGGAUUUAACGGUCAACAAAACAUCUCUUGUCGAGUAACAUCCAUGUCUCUUCUCUGUGUACCACUUAUAACUUUGCCUGAUAUAAAGCCACUUCUUGAAGCUCUCCUUAGCUAUCACAAUGAUGGAUCACAAGAGCUGCUUCACUCUCAGUUUUUAGAAGCAGUGAAUGAGGCCGUAUUACAGAAAAAUAUCUCCUUAUCUGACUCUGCUGUCCUGCAAUUAUGGCUUCGUCACCUUCCUAGUCUGGAGAAAGCAAUACUACGAAAUGUUGAACAAUUAAUAUCCAGUCAAUCAAUGUCAAUGCAAGAGAUGGCGUGUGUGGUAAGAGAUUCCUUAUUGCACCGAGCUGCAUGUCAUCCAACUAUCUUCAGAACUGUUGAUGAAAUUUUCAAGAAUGCACUGCUGGAAACUGAUGGAGCUCAAGAAAUAAUGACUAUAAUGCAGGUGUUUACACAGUGCUUUGUUCAAGCUUACCAUGAGAAUAAUAAGCAGUUAACAUGGAUUCCAAUGGUUGUGGUGAAGAUUCAUAAGUUUCCACUGAAGGCCUAUUUUCCUUAUAAUUCACGUUCACUUGUGAUGGCUUUCCUUAAACAUCCCUCAGAUUUGCCAGGUACUAGUGUAUAUCAGCAUUUGGACCACCUUGCUGGAAUGCUCAAAACAACAGUAGAGGUCAAGGGUUCUGAGUAAGCAGCAGGUUUCCUUUCUUGUUUUUUAAAAAUUGUCUAAGUUAGUUGUGAGUGAUCUUUUUUUGUAAUUUGUUAACAUGUAUGGGAAACAAGUAAAAACUAUUGUUUUCAAGACAUUAUUUUUGUUGGUGUAAAAUUAACAUUAUUGCAUAUUGCUAUUCCCAUUGAUCUUCUUCAAAUAAAAAAGUUUGCUGGUCUUCAUUUCCAGAUUAAAGCCUUUUGAGAACUUAAGAAUUUAUAUUACAAUAUAAUAUAAGCUGAUACACAUUUUGAUGUUGUUCCAGGUCUUUGGAUGAACUCUUCAACAACUGGUUUUUGUUGAUUCAUUUUGGAGAAUGGGCUGAUCUUGCAGCAAAGCAGUUGCUGUUGUCCCAGGCAGAAUCCUCAAACUUGUUGUGGCUUUUGGUGUUUUACUAUACUCCAAACAAUGAGAAGCAGCAGAGAAUUCAAACAAUGGUAGAAGCUCGAUCUGUAUGUGACUAUCUGACAAGCCUCUCAAGAAUGCCAACCAUUUCUGUUGCAGACCUACAAACUUUAUUCAGCAGCAAAACCAGUGUAAAUCAACCUGUAACUAAACGUAUUGUUAUGCAUCUGAUUAUCAGCUUUGUGCUAUUUACUUCUAAUGGACACACAAUAGCCAGAGAAUUGAUUGCACAUUUUAUAGCUGGAGGCAGUGAAAUCCCAGAAGUAACUGGACUUCUUACCCGUAUCUCAAAUACAGCUAGCCAACUUGGAGUGAAAUAUCAAUGCUCUGUAAAGCUAGCAAAUGAUCUCCUCCAGGAAUUCCAGUAGUUUAGUACUUAUUCAAAACUGUGGAGUGGAAGGAGAGAAGGCAGCUGUUUUCAAUGGGCAUUUUCUGAAAGACUGGAAGAGAAAUCUGUUAUUUGCAAUCUACAUACUAUGACUUUCAUCUGAUUUUUCUACAUUUGCAGGAGUAUCUUGUUCAAGUUUAUUCAGAGGUGCCUUGUAAAGCUGAAAACAAAAUACAAGCAUACCAGAGAUAAUCUAUAUAAUUUAACACAAAUAAACUUUAUAUU